rnacentral:rRNA from 1 species
GACGAGGGACCCUAGCGUUGUUCGGAAUUAUUGGGCGUAAAGAGCUCGUAGGCGGCUUGUCACGUCGGGUGUGAAAGCCCGGGGCUUAACCCCGGGUCUGCAUUCGAUACGGUCAGGCUAGAGUGUGGUAGGGGAGAUCGGAAUUCCUGGUGUAGCGGUGAAAUGCGCAGAUAUCAGGAGGAACACCGGUGGCGAAGGCGGGUCUCUGGGCAACAACUGACGCUGAGGCGCGAAAGCCAGGGGAGCAAACGGG